CUUCGUGGGUGUUAUUUUUCAUGUAACACCCGCCUCCUACCUGUCCUCCGCUCUACCUGAAGCCUACUUUGAUUUGCCCUGCUUGAGACGCAUGCCCAAGCAGGGCAAAUCACAUACCUCCCACUACACAUGAAAUUGAAGUGUAAGUGAGGACUUUGUAGAUGAACUUCCUGAUACAUAUUUUUUUUUAUGGCUUAAUUUUAACUGAA